rnacentral:rRNA from 1 species
CCUACGGGGGGCAGCAGUGAGGAAUAUUGGUCAAUGGACGAGAGUCUGAACCAGCCAAGUAGCGUGAAGGAUGACUGCCCUAUGGGUUGUAAACUUCUUUUAUAUGGGAAUAAAAUGUUCCACGUGUGGGAUUUUGUAUGUACCAUAUGAAUAAGGAUCGGCUAACUCCGUGCCAGCAGCCGCGGUAAUACGGAGGAUCCGAUCGUUAUCCGGAUUUAUUGGGUUUAAAGGGAGCGUAGGUGGAUUGUUAAGUCAGUUGUGAAAGUUUGCGGCUCAACCGUAAAAUUGCAGUUGAAACUGGCAGUCUUGAGUACAGUAGAGGUGGGCGGAAUUCGUGGUGUAGCGGUGAAAUGCUUAGAUAUCACGAAGAACUCCGAUUGCGAAGGCAGUUCACUGGACUGCAACUGACACUGAGGCUCGAAAGUGUGGGUAUCAAACAGGAUUAGAUACCCGAGUAGUC